rnacentral:rRNA from 1 species
AGGGUGUAAACGCUGCAGACUUGGUGUUGGAGGCCCUUUGGGGGCAUUCAGUGCCGGAGAGAAGUUGUUAAGUCUGCUACUUGGGGAGUACGUCCGCAAGGAUGAAACUUAAAGGAAUUGGCGGGGGAGCACCGCAACGGGAGGAGCGUGCGGUUUAAUUGGAUUCAACACCGUAAACUCACCAGGGAAGACUGUUACAUGAAGGCCGAGAUGAAGACUCUGCUAGAUUUUUCAGAGAGGGUGGUGCAUGGCGUCAGUGACU